CUCUCACCUAGAAAUUCUCUCUUAGGAGCUGAUCAAAAUCAAACUAAGAAAUUUUUUACACAUGUGAGUCUUGGGGACUUCAGGGUCAUUCAAGGCAGAAUCAGGCCAUAAAUAGUAAUGCCAGAGAUGACAGGAUGUGUAGAGGGACAGGGGAAAAAUCUUACAGUGAAAGAAGAGUAGGGGAGUCUUGAAGUAUAAGUCCUUUGGGGGUCAGAGGACUUUAGAGAAGCUGAUGUUGUAAAAGAAAACAGACUUGUCACCUCUGGCAAAGCCUCAACAUAUGGGUAUGUAUCCGUCAGGGUUCAGCCAGAGAAGCAGAACAACUGGAAGAUAAUUAGAAUUAUCAGGUAAGUGAAGAAAUCAAACUAAAGAAA